rnacentral:rRNA from 1 species
AGUGAACGCUGGCGGCGUGCUUAAUACAUGCAAGUCGAACGGAGUGGCGCACUGGUGAAUAAUUUAUAGCUAAUCUGCCCUACCCUAGAGGCCAACAGUUGGAAACUGCUGCUAAUACUCUAUAGUGUAGGAUGAGGCUAUAUUGUAUCAGCUAGUUGGUGAGGUAAUGGCUCACAAAGGCUAUGACGCAUAGCUGGUCUGAGAGGAUGAGCAGUAACACUAGAACUGAGACACGGUCCAGACUGCUACGGGAGGCAGCAGUGGGGAAUGUAGCUCAAUGGGGGAAACCCUGAAGCAGCAACGGUGCGUGGAGGAAAAAACUUUACGGAGCGUAGAGUCAUUUGGUUAGGGAAGCGGUACCUAACGAAUAAGCACCGGCUAACUCCGUGCCAGCAGCCGCGGUAAUAC